rnacentral:rRNA from 1 species
AUUGAACGCUGGCGGCAGGCCUAACACAUGCAAGUCGAGCGAGAAAGGUCUUCGGACUGAGUACAGCGGCGGACGGGUGAGUAAUGCGCAGGAAUCUACCUGGUAGUGGGGGAUAACUCGGGGAAACUCGAACUAAUACCGCAUACGCCUACGGGGAAAGGCGGGGACCGUUCGGGCCUCGCGCUAUCAGAUGAGCCUGCGUAGGAUUAGCUUGUUGGUGAGGUAAAGGCUCACCAAGGCGAAGACGGGUAGGCUGGUCUGAGAGGAUGAUCAGCCACACUGGAACUGAGACACGGUCCAGACUCCUACGGGAGGCAGCAGUGGGGAAUAUUGCGCAAUGGGCGAAAGCCUGACGCAGCCACGCCGCGUGAGCGAUGAAGGCCUUCGGUCGUAAGACUCUGUGGGAGGAGAAGAAUAAAGACCU